UACGGGGGGGGGCAAGCGUUGUUCGGAAUUACUGGGCGUAAAGGGCGCGUAGGCGGUUCGCUAAGUUGGAUGUGAAAACUCUGGGCUCAACCCAGAGCCUGCAUCCAAAACUGGCGGGCUAGAGUUCUGGAGGGGGUAGCGGAAUUCCUGGUGUAGCGGUGAAAUGCGUAGAUAUCAGGAGGAACACCGGUGGCGAAGGCGGCUACCUGGACAGAAACUGACGCUGAGGCGCGAAAGCUAGGGGAGCGAACAGG
rnacentral:rRNA from 1 species